rnacentral:tRNA from 1 species
UAUAGCUCAGUGGCAGAGUGCUUGCCUAGCGUACAUGAGGCUCUGGGUUCAAUCCCCAGUA